rnacentral:lncRNA from 1 species
CUCAAAGAAGAUGAACAAACAGACUUUCCCUGAGCACUGUAGUUUGUGUAAAGAGAUCUUGCCAUUCACAGAUCGCAAACAGGCAGUCUGUUCCAAUGGCCACAUUUGGCUCCGGUGCUUCUUAACCUACCAGUCCUGCCAGAGUUUGAUAUAUAGAAGGUGUUUGCUCCAUGACAGCAUUGCCCGGCAUCCAGCUCCAGAAGAUCCCGACUGGAUUAAGAGGUUACUGCAAAGCCCCUGCCCUUUCUGUGAUUCUCCUGUCUUCUAAAUAAUCAGUGACGGGAAGAUGGAAGGGCAUGAUGAACUCUGCCAUAGAAAACUUCCUCCAGCCUGAAGAGAAGGAUGCACUGGAGGAAGCCGGACCCUCACGAGUGGAGAGAAGUCCUUGGUGAUUGUAAAGAGGGCCCCUGGAGCUCAUUUCUGAAUCGCACUCUCCAUUUCCAGAGACUAAAGGAUGUCCUUUGAAAUGGCUGGACUCAGAGAGUUGGAGUCGUUUUGAGAUGAGCAUUAGCCCCAGCUUUGUAACCAAUGAGGAACACUUACUUAUUUUUAAGUAUCUUGACAGAAGCAAUUUGAACACAGUGUCCCGUCAUUUCUAGAAACAGAAUGGUCUCUUCUAGAGAGCUUGGAUAAGGACCUUGCUGGGUUGAGUUAGGUUUUAAUCCUUGCUUUGGUUUGGAACUGCCUUCGGGCUCCAGAACUUAAAUUGCUUGGUCCGUGGCAUCUGAUGUACCAACAGAGAUUAAAAGUGUAAAGCAACACAUGGGCUGAUGUUUUGUUCUCAGAAAAUAGCUGCUGGUCUGCAUCCCUCCAUUCUUGUUUUUUAUGCAUAUGGAAAACAUUUUCCUAAAACUCUAUAUUCUUAAGUUGAAGCCAAGACUAAAAUUUAAUGUGUCAAA